ensembl:lincRNA
GGGUGCGUCACACUCUGAAGGGCCAUCCCUCGAGGCCAUGCCCCGCCCUGCCUGCAUGGGGACCUCGACCUCUUCGAGCUCAGAGCUCUGAUCUCCAAGCACCUUUCUGCUCCAGGGCCUUGGCACGGGCUGUCCCCACGCCUCCUCCCCCGUGCAGGGCCUGUGCAGGGAGAGGCCUAGCACAGCAUGGACGCCCGUCUUGGGCUCGUUGGAUGAAAGUCGGUUUAAAGCCCCACAGACUCCUUGAACUUGAAGGAGCAAAGGAAAGGCCAUUGGGGGAUGGGAGAGAGACUCUGGUGGUGAAGGGUCUGGGAGGGCUGACUUAGGAGGCUUACAAGGCUCCAGGGACGCCGUGAGGCCAGGGCUGAGGGGAGGAGGGCCCAGCACGUCUCCCGCACGCGUGUCUGGCUCUCCAGGAGCUGUCCCCGGAGCGGGUCCCUAGGGGCCGUCACAAUGGCUGGAGCCCAGGAUUCCAUCCUGUUCUGUUCCAUCGCCUUGCCCUGACCCCAAAUAUCCCUGCUUCUAGUCCCCUUUCCACAGGGGCCUCUGGCUCCUGGAAGGUACCUGCAGACCCUGUUGCCCCAGGAACGUUCUGGAAGGUGUGAGGCAGAAAGAAGAUUCUGGUAUGAGCCUUGGUGUGGACAAAGAGGAACCAGAAGGCCCCCGUCCUCACCCACCCCACGGCCACCCCCGAUGUCCGUCUGGCUCCAGAAAAGGGAAGGCAGGUGGCCAGUGCCGUGUGCUGGACAGUAGCUCUCCUGACCCAAGGCCACCGAGGCUCGUUGGGGUCACCUGCCUCUGCAGAAUUAUGAGCGUCUGUUCACGUUUGUGUGGGUGGAUGGAUUCGCGGCGGGACUGGAGAGAGCAGCUCCGUUAUGCAGAAACAGAAACUCGUCUCUGGGAAGGAAGCUUGUGUAUUUGGACCCUGGCCUGCGGCCAGGGAGCAGGUGCUGGAGAAAGUCUGGGUUCUGCAGCCUGGCGGGCGUCUGGUCUGGAGGCAGUGCCCGCAGCCCCGGCGAGUGUCCAGAGGUCUGACACCAGACAGAAACACCGCGAAUGUACUUGACGCCGCUGCGUGGUGCAUUUAAAGCCCAUAAAAUGUGCAUUUCCUGAUUUGUGUGUUAGCACGGCACGAAUAAGCAGACGGGAAGAACCCACACGGGCUUUUUCACUCCGCCCGCGGGCAGAGGUCCAGCGCGGCCGGCCCGUGCUCCGUUCGCCAGGCUGGGGCUGGUGCGGCGGGAUCCAGGCGCUGGGGCGGGGGGGCCGUAGGCCUGCUUCUGUCCUGUCCCAGGGCCGCCCUCAGGGCCCUGCCUCCAGCCAGCACGGGGCGUGCAGAAGCCUGCCUGGCUCUUCUGUGCCUCCCGGAGACGGCUGUGCCCUUGCGGGCUUCGGUGGGGAGGCCAGGCCCGCCGGAGAGCCUCCCCCUGGAAGGGCGGCCGGUUCAUCACCGACACGCGUCUUUAGGACCCUUUGGCUGCAGGCCGCGUGGUCGUGGGAGUGACGUGGGUGGAGAUGAUCCAGGUGCCAGCCUGGAUCUAGCCUGGAAGUCCGCCUGCCCCGGCCCUUUGAAGCCGGGGACUUGUCGGCUUGCUGCCCGGCCGCCAGCGCCCUGCCUCUGCAGUGUGUCUCGGAAGCGACGGGCACCGGUCACCUGCAGAGCUGUUGGAUGUGGGUGCUGGCUGCCGGGCUCCGGACGCCGCACGUGUGUGCAUCUGCGUGUGCAUCUGCGUGUGUGUCUGUCUGUGUUGGGGGUGGGCAGCCCGCCUGGCCUUGCACACACACAUGCCCCUCCCCGCCAGGCAGCAGAGGAGCUCAAGGGGCUCCUGAGCCCUCGACCCUGCUGAGCAGGGGAGAGCUGAGAGCUUGGGCAGGGGUAACCGGGGAGGUGGAGCUUGCCUGGACCCCAACAUGCCCCUGGAGACCUGCCCCCUUUCCCCACAGGGAAGGCAGGGCAGGAGGUUUCCUGGAGACACGGGCCUCACAGGGCCCACAUCCCAGUCGUGCCGUGCACGGUCCUGCACCUCCCUGCCCCGGGCUCAUCUCCCGACAGGCGGGGCCUCUCUCUCUGGAAGCCGAGUGAGCAGGGGGUGCUUCUGUGGGGCCGUGCGCCCGCUCUGUGCCAGGGUUUUCAAACUGGAGCCCCUGACGGGACGGGCACCAUGUGUGGGUGUGGGGAUCCCGUGGCACACCGCCUGGGCCUGGGACUGCGGCCGGGAGACCCCAGCAGUAGGGCUGGGGCCCCAGAUGGGCGUCGCCAGAAGAGGGGAAGGGCAGUGAGGGCCAGGUGGCCGAUGGGGAAGGUGCCCGGGUGCCCAGCACUGACCCGGAGCCGUGACUGGUUUCCGGCCGAGUGUCUCUGGUGUGGACGCCGGAUCAGCUUUCUUCCAGAGAUGCUGAGAGGGAGGGAGUUUAUGGGGCUUCUGACACCGGUCGCUUCGGGCGCAGGGCUGGGUUCUGGCGGCAUCACGCUCCUCCUUUGGGAAGGAGGUGAUGUAUUCGUUUCCACUUGAGUCACCGGGUCCGUUUCAGGGCCUCACCUGAAAUCCCCAGUUGGUCCUGAACCUGGGCUGGAGCCCGGGCGGGCGAAGACCACAUCUUGUCUCCCCUCGGGGACUGGGGGCAGGGCUCCUCAGGCUGACGCCAGCUGCCGGGCGCUCUCACAGCACGGUUCGCCUGGAGUCUGCGACAGGACGCCAGCAGCAGCAAACCUGGCCAUGGGCACAGCUGGCCCGUCGCCGGCGCGGCCCGGACACCACGCCUCCGGGCUCAACGGCGACCGUGCGUGUGGGCUAGUGUUCUUGGGCCUCGAGCGAGACGUUUGUAGUUUUGGCAAAUGUACACCCGGCAUCUCGGGGACGGACGGAGGCACGAGCAGCGUCGGGCGUCCGGUUCUUCAGCCGUUCUGCUUCUCCGCCCUUCAUCGUGGGCCACUGAAGACUCACACACCACGGCCCGCGUGGGGCCCCAGCAUAAGCCUGGCCGGUGUGAUCUCAGCUCAGCCUGCCUGGCCGGUUUGCCCGCCACCUUGGAGGGGCAGGAGAGGACGGGGCAGAGGGGUCGUCUCUGAAUGACCAUCCCAGGGUGGGCUCCGAGCCCAGGAAGGCCCGCCGGCCCCCUGCCUCGGGCGUGUGGCCUGGAGCAGAGGAGGGAUGUGAGAGGGUCCAGGGAGGCGUCCCCGGGAUCGGCCUGACUUUGUGCCUCACCACGCCCUUCUGAUCCCCUGGGCGCUGGUCCCCACCCUCCCGCCGCCACGGCCACCUCUGCUGACCCCCGGCUCAGGCCUCCCGUCCCGGGGCCUGCAUCUCGGGGUGUCUGCACUCUUCCUCUUGCCUCUGCUCCUUCUCGGCGCUGGUGGCGUCCUGCUCCCAAGCUGCGCUCGCACUGCUGGCGUGGACGCGGUUUGGUGUUAGUGUGCGGAGACCGGACACGGCGCGGGGACCGCUGACUCGGGAACGCUCCUGUCUGCAGGCACACACGGCUCCCCCGGGCUGUCUUCAUGGGGUCACGUUUUCCUAAAUUAGAGGAGGCUUCCCGUCUCUCUCUGUG